rnacentral:rRNA from 1 species
CCCUUAGAUGUUCUGGGCCGCACACGCGCUACACUGAAGGAGGCAGCGUGUACUCCUGGAUCGAAAGAUUUGGGUAACCCGCGAAUCUCCUUCGUGCUAGGGAUUGAGGUUUGCAAUUAUCCUUCAUGAACGAGGAAUUCCCAGUAAGUGCAAGUCAUAAGCUUGCGCUGACUACGUCCCUGCCCUUUGUACACACCGCCCGCCGCUACUACCGAUUGAAUGAUUUAGUGAGGACUUCGGACUGGGACCGAUGCGGCUUUCGGGCUGCGUCGGUAUUCUGGAAAGAUGUCCAAACUGUAUCAUUUAGAGGAAGUAAAANUCGUAACA